rnacentral:rRNA from 1 species
UACGUAGGGUGCGAGCGUUGUCCGGAAUUAUUGGCGUAAAGAGCUCGUAGGCGGUGUGUCACGUCGGCCGUGAAAACCUGCAGCUUAACUGUGGGCGUGCGGUCGAUACGGGCAUCACUGGAGUUCGGCAGGGGAGACUGGAAUUCCUGGUGUAGCGGUGAAAUGCGCAGAUAUCAGGAGGAACACCGGUGGCGAAGGCGGGUCUCUGGGCCGAUACUGACGCUGAGGAGCGAAAGCGUGGGGAGCAAACAGG